GGGGCUGUUUUGGUUUUGACAGCAUUUGACAUCGGAAAGUAAGCACGUCCGGCGUUGGAAGUUUGCCGGCAAACUCAACUUUCAAGCCUAUAGUUGGCAACAAUAACAAUUAUGCACUCGCUGCGUAGUCGAGCCUAAGGCUGACCGCUUAAUCAUCCGGACAAGGUCUGCGAUGACGAGUAUCCCGCCGCCCUUUUGGCCGGUUAUGCGCGGCAUACGGGGUAUCAUGGAAACCGGAUGCGGGGACAGACUCCUUUAAAGUCCCUUAAGUUCCAAAAGGAUAAGGCUAUGCCAACCUGUCCCCCGGCAGGUAUGGCCCGACAAUCAAAGAGGGAAUAAACGUGUAGAAAGCUUUUGGGUGCGAUGUUUGGACGGCGGUUCGAGUCCGCCCAGCUCCACA
rnacentral:tmRNA from 1 species